UACGUAGGAUGCAAGCGUUUAUCCGGAAUUAUUGGGGCGUAAAAGCGUACGUAGGCGGUUUUACCAAAGUCUGGAGUUUAAAAGACCGAGGCUCAACCUCGGGAGUGCUCUGGAAACUGGUAGGCUGGAGGACGGCAGAGGAAAGUGGAAUUCCCGGUGUAGCGGUGAAAUGCGCAGAUAUCAGGAGGAACACCAAUUGCGAAGGCAGCUCGCUGGGACGUAACUGACGCUGAGACGCGAAAGCGUGGGGAGCAAACAGG
rnacentral:rRNA from 1 species